CAUGGCCGUGUUAUGUCUCGAAUUUGGGGUGUGACAUUUUAUGGUAUCAGAGCUUAGGUUAUAAUCAUUGGGAAUUAUGAUAUAAAUGAUAUAAAUGAUUAGGAUAUGAAAGAAUAAUAUCAGAGCUUAGAUUUAAGAUCAUUGAGAUUAUAAAGUGAUAUCAAAACUUUAUGUAUGAUCAAUAGGAUGUGACCGAGUGGAGUAUAAUGGAUAAUAUCAG
rnacentral:lncRNA from 1 species